rnacentral:rRNA from 1 species
UCUGGCGGCAGUAGCGCGGUGGUCCCACCUGACCCCCUGCCGAACUCAGAAGUGAAACGCCGUAGCGCCGAUGGUAGUGUGGGGUCUCCCCAUGCGAGAGUAGGGAACUGCCAGAC